UUGGUUUUAUGAUCGUGAUGUGAUUAACCGUGGCAAGGAAAACACAUGUUCAAAUUCAAAGGAAAUAAAAUCACAUUAACACCUCCCAAGCCUUUCAAAAGGAACUCAUUAAAGCCUAAGCCUUCCCUUAAUCCUCCCGCUCCAAAGCACCUCAACAUUUUAAGUCAUUGAGCUUUUGAAAAGGUAAAGAUGGAAAGUAAGCAUUUCUUAUUUGUGAUAAGUAAAGAAGUUUAGCAUGGUUUUCCAGAAUCUACUCUUGACUAUUUUCUUGAGGUGAGUCACUUGCUAGGACAAUUUUGUGACAUAAGCCUAAUGAGUUAUCACCUAUGAGACAUAUUAAACAUUCUAUUGAUUG
rnacentral:misc_RNA from 1 species